CCUACGGGGGGCAGCAGUGGGGGAUAUUGCACAAUGGGGGGAACCCUGAUGCAGCGACGCCGCGUGGGUGAAGAAGCGCCUCGGCGCGUAAAGCCCUGUCAGCCGGGGAGAAAAUGACGGUACCUGAAGAAGAAGCCACGGCUAACUACGUGCCAGCAGCCGCGGUAAUCCGUAGGGGGCAAGCGUUAUCCGGAUUUACUGGGUGGAAAGGGGGUGCAGACGGGGUUGCAAGCCAGGAGGGAAAGUCCGGGGCCCAACCCCGGGACUGCGCUUGGAAAUGCGUGGCGGGAGUGCAGGAGGGGCAGGCGGAAUGCCUGGUGUAGCGGUGAAAUGCGUAGAGAUCAGGAGGAACACCGGUGGCGAAGGCGGCCUGCUGGACUGCAACUGACGUUGAGGCCCGAAAGCGUGGGGAGCAAACAGGAUUAGAUACCCCAGUAGUC
rnacentral:rRNA from 1 species